rnacentral:rRNA from 1 species
GAGGAAUAUUGGUCAAUGGGCGGAAGCCUGAACCAGCCAUCCCGCGUGCAGGAAGACGGCCCUAUGGGUUGUAAACUGCUUUUCCAGGGGGAGAAACUUUCCGAUGAAUCGGGAUUUGACGGUACCCUGGGAAUAAGCAUCGGCUAACUCCGUGCCAGCAGCCGCGGUAAUACGGAGGAUGCGAGCGUUAUCCGGAUUUAUUGGGUUUAAAGGGUGCGUAGGCGGAUCGAUAAGUCAGUGGUGAAAACCUGCAGCUUAACUGUAGACUUGCCGUUGAUACUGUUGGUCUUGAGUAUGGUCAAGGUAGGCGGAAUGUGUAAUGUAGCAGUGAAAUGCUUAGAUAUUACACAGAACACCGAUUGCGAAGGCAGCUUACUGGACCAUCACUGACGCUGAUGCACGAAAGCGUGGGGAUCGAACAG